rnacentral:sRNA from 1 species
ACCCGCUGAACUUAAGCAUAUCAAUAAGCGGAGGAAAAGAAACCAACAGGGAUUGCCUCAGUAACGGCGAGUGAAGCGGCAACAGCUCAAAUUUGAAAUCUGGCCCCCUUGCGGGGUCCGAGUUGUAAUUUGAAGAGGAUGCUUCUGGCAAGGUGCCUUCCGAGUUCCCUGGAACGGGACGCCGCAGAGGGUGAGAGCCCCGUACGGUUGGACGCCGAGCCUCUGUGAAGCUCCUUCGACGAGUCGAGUAGUUUGGGAAUGCUGCUCAAAAUGGGAGGUAAACCCCUUCUAAAGCUAAAUACUGGCCAGAGACCGAUAGCGCACAAGUAGAGUGAUCGAAAGAUGAAAAGCACUUUGAAAAGAGAGUUAAAAAGCACGUGAAAUUGUUGAAAGGGAAGCGCUUGCGACCAGACUCGCGCCCGUCGGAUCAGCCGUCGCUCGCGGCGGUGCACUCCGGCGGGCUCGGGCCAGCAUCAGUUCGUUGGGGGGGAGAAAGGCGGCGGGAAUGUGGCUCCACGGAGUGUUAUAGCCCGUCGUGUAAUACCCCCUGGCGGACUGAGGACCGCGCGUAUGCAAGGAUGCUGGCGUAAUGGUCGUCAGCGACCCGUCUUGAAACACGGACCAAGGAGUCGUCCUAAUAUGCGAGUGUACGGGUGUCAAACCCCUGCGCGUAAUGAAAGUGAACGGAGGUGAGAGCUUCGGCGCAUCAUCGACCGAUCCUGAUGUUCUCGGAUGGAUUUGAGUAAGAGCAUAUUGGGCCGGACCCGAAAGAAGGUGAACUAUGCCUGUGUAGGGUAAAGCCAGAGGAAACUCUGGUGGAGGCUCGCAGCGGUUCUGACGUGCAAAUCGAUCGUCAAACAUGGGCAUGGGGGCGAAAGACUAAUCGAACCUUCUAGUAGCUGGUUUCCGCCGAAGUUYCCCCYUCAGGA